AGAGAGGGGCCCGGAAGCCGUGGCCAGCGAAGGAGCGUGGGCUUCUCUGGGUCAGAGGCUGCGUCUUCGAGCUCUGUAGUCUUCGGGAAGAAUGAGGACAGCUCUCUUCUGGGGACAGUUGGUCCUAGCGGUUGGAUUCCAAACACCAGACAUAUUGCUUGGCACUUAGAGAUCUCAACGUGUGUUCAUGGAUGAAUGCGUUCUCACGUCACACAACUUCUGAUACCCCACAUGUCUCCAGGGG